GCAUGCACAGCUUACACUGGCACAAAGAGACCGAUAGGCUUUUACAGCCUGCAUCGACAGCGGCACCAUGAAAGGAU
rnacentral:ribozyme from 1 species